AUUACUCCUAACUUCCCAUUUUUUUCACUGAGUUGCCCCUUCGUCACUUUGCCACCGCCGUCACUGCCUUUAACCUCCGUCCCUUUGCAAUGGCAUCAAAGAAGAAGCUGUUGAACCCAAUGAGGGAGAUUAAAGUUCAAAAGCUCGUCCUCAAUAUAUCCGUCAGUGAAAACGGUCUUAGAACAACUCGGUGGUCAAACCCCCGUCCUCUCCAAGGCUAGGUACACUGAGAUCCUUCGGAAUCACGCGUAAUGAGAAGAUUGCUUGCUACGCGACGGUGAGGGGAGAAAAGGCUAUGCAGCUUCUCGAGAGUAGUUUGAAGGUUAAGGAAUAUGAGCUUUUGAGGAGGAACUUCAGUGAUAUUGGCUGCUUUGGGUUCGGCAUCCAGGAGCACAUUGAUCUCGGCAUCAAGUAUUAAUUUUCGGGCACUUCUUUAUUAAUUUGUGAUGUAAUGUAAUUGAGGGUUCUUAUGUUGAUACUGCAUUCACUGUUGACACGUCCAACUAAAUUGAACUAAAUUUAGAUCCUUUAAUAGGUUUAAGGAGUUGGUUUUCAUCAUAACCUUAUGAUUAAAAAUACUUCUACUACUUGGAUCGGAGCACACAUGUUUGUGUCUUGCAAUGAUGUUUGGUUUUGGG